rnacentral:misc_RNA from 1 species
CCUGAAGAUACCUUCCGGCGCAGUGUCCACGCAGAUUGUCUGAUAGAAGUAACGAGCAAAGUCACACCAGAGUCCCCAUCGUCUAGAGGCCCAGGACACUGCCCUUUCACGGCUGUAACAGGGGUUCGAAUCCCCUUGGGGACGCCAUACCGGUAACGAAGUGAAAGACGUUAUCAACCGUAUCUCAAAACUGAUUCCACCUUAACGGUGAGUCACGUUUGAGAUAUUUGCUCUUUAAUAAUCCGGAACAAGCUGAAAAUUGAAACGACGUGUCGUAUUCAUUCGCCGUAAUAAGAAUGAAGCUGACGAUACGUUCGAGUCUCUCAAUGCCUGCAACUGACAGACGUCUUUCGGGACGCUUGUGGGUUGUGA